rnacentral:ncRNA from 1 species
GAUAACGGCACAAUCCUAUUCUAGGGUCCGUAUCAACAAUGGGUUUACAGCUUCAAUGCUGGAUCAGGACAUCCUAAUGGCGUAGCCGCUAUUAAGGGUUCGUUUUUUCAACUAUUAAAGUCCCAUGUGAUCUCAGUUCAGAUCGGAGUAAUCCAGGUC